CAUGGCCUGGACCUCCCUCUUGCACCCCUCCUCUCUCUCUGCAGAGGUUCUGUGUCCUCUUCUGCACUGACUCAGCCCUCCGCGGUGUCUGUGUCCUUGGGACAGACAGCCAAGAUCACCUGCUAAGGAGGCAGCUUAGGAAGCUAUAAUGCUAACUGGUACCAGCAGAAGCCAGGCCAGGCCCCUGUACUCGUCAUCUAUGGUGAU